rnacentral:rRNA from 1 species
GACAGAGGGCCCGAGCGUUAGGCGGAAUCACUGGGCGUAAAGCGUGUGUAGGCGGACUUCUAAGUCCCUUGUGAAAUCCCACGGCUUAACCGUGGAACUGCUUGGUAUACUGGUUGUCUUGGGCCAUCUAGGGGCUACUGGAACAAACGGUGGAGCGGUGAAAUGCGUAGAUAUCGUUUGGAACGCCAAUGGUGAAAACAAGUAGCUGGGGAUGUGCCGACGCUGAGACACGAAAGCCAGGGGAGCGAACGGG